rnacentral:rRNA from 1 species
UAUGUGAUCGUCUCUCGCAUAUCAAUAAGCGGAGGAAAAGAAACUAACAAGGAUUCCCCUAGUAACGGCGAGUGAAGCGGGAAGAGCUCAAAUUUGAAAUCUUAAAGGGUUUCCCUUUACGAAUUGUAGUUUAAAGAAGUGUUUUCCUGUUGAGGUUUUGGUAAAAGUUCUUUGGAAUAGGACAUCAUAGAGGGUGAGAAUCCCGUAUUUGACCUUUACUUUCAACUUUGUGAUACACUUUCAAAGAGUCGGAUUGUUUGGGAAUGCAGUCCAAAAUGGGUGGUAAAUUUCAUCUAAAGCUAAAUAUUGGCGAGAGACCGAUAGCGAACAAGUACCGUGAGGGAAAGAUGAAAAGAACUUUGAAAAGAGAGUUAAACAGUACGUGAAAUUGUCAAAAGGGAAGCGUUUGACACCAGUGUUGUUUUUCUGAAAAUCAAUUAAAGAACUGUUUAUGCUAAGUUGUUUAGACUUUAUCAGCUAAUCUGCUUAGUUUUGAGCUUUUCUUUAAUGCACUUUUCAGUUAACAAGUCAACAUCAAUUUCUUUUGCUGUAAAAAAGCUUGAGGAAGGUGGCUUGAGAUUCGUCUUAAGUGUUUAUAGCCUCUUGCCUAUGCAGUCGGAGAGAUUGAGGUCUGCAGCGUAGAUCCUUCGGGGCUAAAUGCAUUUGUGCUAAGUUAUAGCAUUUUAUAGACAACUUGUUGACUAUGAUUUGUCUUGUAGCUUACUCGCUUAUGUUAUUUUACCUACGCUUAGGAUGUUGAAGUCAUCGUAUCGCGC